rnacentral:lncRNA from 1 species
CAUGCCAUGACAAGUUGAUCCUUUUUAACCCACUUGCCAAACUCCGGGUUUGCCUGCUCCGUGACUUCAUCGCCGUUACGGACAGUGACAGUAGGCGAAGGUCGAACAGAGCCACCAUUGACGAACCCUAACAGAGAUUGACUUGACAGAAAAGACUCAAACUGAGUUUUCCACAAAAGGUAGUUUGUGGAAGAGAGUUUGAGAGUAACACAGUGUGUGAUACUCAGAGAAGGAGACGUGAACGGAUCAUUGUCUUCCAUGCUCUGAUACCAUAAAGAUCAGAGAGAGAAGCUUGAAUGAAGAAGAUAACUUUAACUUUACUUUUGUUAUUCAACUUAAUCCAACGUUACAUCAUCGUUUCCUAUUUAUAUACAAGAUAGAUCUUAUCCUCUUAGUUUGUCAGCAUGUGACAGCACAUGAGGUAAGGCAUUCAAAUCUGUUGGAUGUACCGAUGAUGUGAGCUGGAGCCGUCGUACAUCGAGAGCUCCUUUGAACGUUGAAUGUUGACGACUUUACCGU